rnacentral:lncRNA from 1 species
UGUUCUAAGAAAGUCCAUAACAAUAAACAAGGCUCUAAUAUAUUUUUUCUGCCAAAUAACAUAAUGCCUAAUAGCAACUAUGUAGGUAAAAAAAUAUAUUUACCUCUCAGAGGAAAUUACUUAUACGUUAUGUCUAUAUUAAAAAUAUAUACUUAUAUACCUGUAUAUAAAAUGGGGUUUUGUAAUUUAUAACAAGAAAUGAAAGAUUUCUUAAAUUGAUAGCAGUACUGUUACUUUAAUUAUAAUUUACAAAAACACACCUAUUCUAAAUUGGGACUUAGAGAGGAUUUUCAGCAUAUUGAGAGCCAUUAAUACAAAAAUAAGAUCCUGUUUAUUAGGAAAAUGUAUCAAGGACAACCUAAUUAUAAAAUAGAAUAUUGAAAUAUUAGAUUCUAAUAUGGUCAAGAACAACAGAAUGAAUGGCCUCUAAAGGUCUUAGUUUCAAAUGACGGCAAAUAGUUUUUCUAACAUGAGUUUCUUUGUAUUAAGACUUGGGAUUAGCACAUAGCUAAAUGUUCAUAAUAAGGUGUUAGAGAACAACAGUAAUAUUGUCAAGAACAACAGUAUGAAUGGUGUCAAAGGGGAUCUCAGCUUCAAAUGGCGUGCAAAUAGUUUGUCUGACAUCAUUUUCUUCGGGUCAAGAAUUGGUUAUGCUCCAUGGAUUCCAUGUUAAAGUACAAUAUAAUUAAGAUAAGUAUAAGUCGUUUAAAUACUGAACAUAUUAAUUUACUUUUUCUUUUCUUAUCUUUACAAAUUACUUAGGUGACGAAAAAUGAGGAUUCUACAUGAAAUUUGAAGUAUGAUAGGAAAAAGACAGAUGUUAUUUCUACUCAUAAUUAGUAUAUUUUUUUCUGUAUAAAAAUGUCUCAUUAUUUUUGUUUAUUUAUAAUUUACAUUGUCCCUAAUAAUUU